rnacentral:tRNA from 1 species
GGAAACGUUUGGAAAACUAUCUCGCCGUCCUCGCAUGGCGGAGGUCACGAGUUCGAGUCUCGUCGGGUCCA